GUAUGUAUGUUAUACAUAUUUCACAGGUAUCAACAAAUUUAAUUCUCACUCCAGAGGAAAACUCCAGAGGACUAAAAAAAUCUCACUUUGACAGCAGCUUCUCCAGAAUCCUGGGAGCUCCUUCGGUAACAGAACAUGGUGCCCGGCAGUGUGGAUCUGAGAGCAAGGCUGUCUGGAAAUCCAAGCCAUCUCAUGUCAGGAUGCAAUGUCUUCACUCUCAUCACUCAACUGCAUGCCACUUGCCUUGCUUGGAAGGAUGGAGUUCCAGAAGCCCAGUGGGAAGGGAACUGUGCAGAGCCCGGCCACAGGAGUGAGUCCUGUGUGAAAGCCAUCCAGCUUCAGUCUCAGCAGAAAGCAAUUAGCAGGUACAAGGAGCCCCUGCAGGACCAGUGUGCAUGGUGGGUGGCACGGGUGAAGUCCUCUGGGCCUCAAUUCCUCUGCUCCCUGCCACCUGCCACUCACAGCCACUUGUACCACAAGGCCUGUCCCAGAAGUCAUCACUCACCACCACCUUCUGCACGUCUUAUGCCCCAGAAAAAACUAAACCACUUGUACUUAUCUCCCCUGAAAAAUUUUAAUGAAGCAGUUGCUUUAUUAAAAAACUUCAU